rnacentral:tRNA from 1 species
GGGUUGCUAACUCAACGGUAGAGUACCCGGCUUUUAAUCGACUAGUUCCGGGUUCGAGAUCCCGGGCAACCC